UCCUACGGGAGGCAGCAGUGAGGAAUAUUGGACAAUGGUCGGAAGACUGAUCCAGCCAUGCCGCGUGAAGGCAGACGGUCCUAUGGAUUGUAAACUUCUUUUGUACGGGAGCAAUAAGGGUCAUGCGUGAUCCGAUGAGAGUACCGUACGAAUAAGCAUCGGCUAACUCCGUGCCAGCAGCCGCGGUAAUACGGAGGAUGCGAGCGUUAUCCGGAUUUAUUGGGUUUAAAGGGUGCGUAGGCUGACCAUCAAGUCAGUGGUGAAAGGCGCGGGCCAAACCCGCGAACUGCCAUAGAAACUGGGGGUCUAGAAUACGGAUGCUGUGGGAGGAAUGUGUAGUGUAGCGGUGAAAUGCAUAGAUAUUACACAGAACACCGAUUGCGAAGGCAUCUCACAAAUCCGUCAUUGACGCUGAGGCACGAAAGUGCGGGGAUCAAACAGGAUUAGAUACCCUGGUAGUCCGCACAGUAAACGAUGAUAACUCGCUGUCGGCGAUACACAGUCGGUGGCCAAGCGAAAGCGAUAAGUUAUCCACCUGGGGAGUACGACCGCAAGGUUGAAACUCGAAGGAAUUGACGGGGGCCCGCACAAGCGGAGGAACAUGUGGUUUAAUUCGAUGAUACGCGAGGAACCUUACCCGGGCUCGAACGGCAUGGUAACGAUACAGAGAUGUAAAGGCCAGCAAUGGAUCAUGUCGAGGUGCUGCAUGGUUGUCGUCAGCUCGUGCCGUGAGGUGUCGGCUUAAGUGCCAUAACGAGCGCAACCCUUGUCGUCAGUUACCAACAGGCAAAGCUGGGGACUCUGGCGAGACUGCCACCGUAAGGUGAGAGGAAGGGGGGGAUGACGUCAAAUCAGCACGGCCCUUACGUCCGGGGCGACACACGUGUUACAAUGGUCGGUACAGAGGGGAGCUAUCCCGCGAGGGAAUGCAAAUCUCGAAAACCGGUCUCAGUUCGGAUCGGAGUCUGCAACUCGACUCCGUGAAGUUGGAUUCGCUAGUAAUCGCGCAUCAGCCAUGGCGCGGUGAAUACGUUCCCGGGCCUUGUACACACCGCCCGUCAAGCCAUGGAAGCCGGGGGUGCCUGAAGUCCGAAACCGAAAGGAUCGGCCUAAGGCAAAACUGGUAACUGGGGCUAAGUCGUAACAAGGUAGCCA
rnacentral:rRNA from 1 species